AACCUCAGAUCAAGUAGGAUUACCCGCUGAACUUAAGCAUAUCAAUAAGCGGAGGAAAAGAAACCAACAGGGAUUGCCUUAGUAACGGCGAGUGAAGCGGCAAAAGCUCAAAUUUGAAAUCGGCCUCCAGGUCGAGUUGUAAUUUGUAGAUUGUAUCUUGAGAGCGGAUUAAAGUCUGUUGGAACACAGCGCCUUAGAGGGUGACAGCCCCGUAAAAUCUAUUCUCAUUGUAAGAUACUUUCGAAGAGUCGAGUUGUUUGGGAAUGCAGCUCUAAGUGGGAGGUAAAUUCCUUCUAAAGCUAAAUAUUGACGAGAGACCGAUAGCGAACAAGUACUGUGAAGGAAAGAUGAAAGGCACUUUGAAAAGAGAGUGAAAAAGUACGUGAAAUUGUUAAAAGGGAAGGGUAUUGAAUCAGACUUGGUGCUGUUGUUCAACUGUGUUUCGGCACAGUGUACUCAGCAGUACUAGGCCAAGGUGGGGUGUUUGGGAGUGAAAAAGAAGUUGGAACGUAACUCUUCGGAGUGUUAUAGCCUACUUUCAUAGCUCCUCAGGCGCCUCAGGACUGCGCUUCGGCAAGGACCUUGGCAUAAUGAUUCUAUACCGCCCGUCUUGAAACACGGACCAAGGAGUCUAACGUCUAUGCGAGUGUUU
rnacentral:rRNA from 1 species